GGCUCAGAAUGAACGCUGGCGGCGUGCCUUACACAUGCAAGUCGAGCGAGGCGGGUAGCAAUACCCAGUCGAGCGGCGAACGGGUGAGUAACGCGUGGAUAACCUACCCUGAGGCGGGGAACAACCAGGGGAAACUCUGGCUAAUACCGCAUGAUACCGAGAGGUCAAAGAGGGCUCGCAAGGGCUCUCGCCGCAGGAGGGGUCCGCGUACGAUUAGCUAGUUGGUAGGGUAACGGCCUACCAAGGCGACGAUCGUUAGCCGGCCUGAGAGGGUGAUCGGCCACACUGGAACUGAGACACGGUCCAGACUCCUACGGGAGGCAGCAGUGGGGAAUUUUGCGCAAUGGGCGAAAGCCUGACGCAGCAACACCGCGUGGAGGAUGAAGGUCUUUGGAUUGUAAACUCUUGUCAGCAGGGAAGAAAUGCUCUGACCUAAUACGUCAGGGAGUUGACGGUACCUGCAGAGGAAGCCCCGGCUAACUCUGUGCCAGCAGCCGCGGUAAUACAGAGGGGGCAAGCGUUAUUCGGAAUUAUUGGGCGUAAAGGGCGCGUAGGCGGCUUCGCAAGUGGAAGGUGAAAUCCCUCGGCUUAACCGAGGAACUGCCUUCCAAACUGCAUUGCUUGAGUCCGGGAGAGGUGAGUGGAAUUCCCAGUGUAGCGGUGAAAUGCGUAGAUAUUGGGAGGAACACCAGUGGCGAAGGCGGCUCACUGGACCGGAACUGACGCUGAGGCGCGAAAGCGUGGGGAGCAAACGGGAUUAGAUACCCCGGUAGUCCACGCCGUAAACGAUGAGUGCUUGGUGUAGCGGGUAUCGACCCCUGCUGUGCCGAAGUCAACGCAUUAAGCACUCCGCCUGGGGAGUACGGUCGCAAGGCUGAAACU
rnacentral:rRNA from 1 species